rnacentral:rRNA from 1 species
AUGAUCUGGGAGCAGCCUGUGCAAUCUGAGGAUCCUAUAGACAUCCUGAACAUAAAGCUUAAACGUAUAAAAAAGUACUUUAAAGGAUGGGGUUCACACCUUUUCGGCCAUGCCAAAAAGAGGAAAAAGUGGAUUAAAAAGGAGCUGGAAGAAAAAUAAAAAAUGGAGGAGGCUGGUCCCAUGGAUCCUAAGACUUAUGAGAAAAGGACCACCUUGAGUGCUGAGCUUAAUGAUAUCCUCGCUGAUGAAGAGCUUUUUUGGCUUCAGCACUCGAACGAAUGAUGGUUACUUAAAUGGGAUCAUAACACGGCCUAUUUCCAUCAUAUAGCCAAUGGUAAGAAGAGAAAAAACACCAUUCACUCCCUUGCUGAUGGGGAAAUGGUUAUAGAGGGCACUAAGGAUCUCCUGGAGCAUGCUACUUCCUAUUAUAAGGGGCUCUUUGGCCCGGCCAGUGGAAACCUUUUUCACCUCUUUCCCGAAACCUGGUCUAAUGAUGAGAAGCUUAUAGAAGAUGACAACCUCAUCCUGACUAGUGUUUUCACUGAAGAGGAAGUUAAAAAAGCCUUAUUUAGCAUGGAUAAUAAUAGGGCUCCUGGGACUGAUAAUAUCCCAGCUGAGUUUUAUAAACACUGCUGGGAUUUUGUCAAAAACGAUAUUAUGAGGCUCUUUGAAGCAUUCCAUAAUAAUACCCUGGAUGUUGCACGCCUGAACUACGGGAUUAUCACCCUGAUUCCAAAGCUCAAUGGGGCUAACCGUAUCCAGCAAUACCGCCCCAUUUGCCUGCUUAGAUGCCCCUAUAAACUUAUUACUAAGGUGCUGGACAAUAGGGUUGCUAUCUUUGCAGACAAACUGAUUAGUAAGCAUCAAAAUGCCUUCAUUAAGCAUAGAAACAUCAUGGAUGGGAUCCUUACAUUGCAUGAAGUGCUGCACCACACACAUCGAAAAAAGAAAGUUGGUGUGGUGUUGAAACUGGAUUUUGAAAAGGUGUAUGACAAGAUUAAUUGGGAUUUUCUUAUUGAAUGCCAUCGCAACUGGGGCUUUGGAUCUACCUGGUGUGGCUGGGUAGAUUAG